UACGAGGGGGGCAAGCGUUGUUCGGAAUUAUUGGGCGUAAAGCGCACGUAGGCGGUCUGUUAAGUCGGAUGUGAAAGCCCCGGGCUCAACUCGGGAAGUGCAUUCGAAACUGGCAGGCUUGAAUAUGGAAGAGGGUCGCGGAAUUCCUGGUGUAGCGGUGAAAUGCGUAGAUAUCAGGAGGAACACCUGUGGCGAAAGCGGCUCACUGGACCAUAACUGACGCUGAUGCACGAAAGCUAGGGGAGCAAACAGG
rnacentral:rRNA from 1 species